CCGAUGAGGUGGAAACGGACAGAGCUGGCGUAUCUGGCCUGCAUUCAGCCGCUGCGCGUCGGGCCCCGGUUUGCCGCACUCCAGAUUGGGAAGGUGGCUGGGCUGCUGGCGUGCUGGUGGUGCAUUUGCAGGUGGAGUGCGCCGAGGCGCUCGGUUCAGCGGCAUAAGCUCGGCUUUGAGGCCAGUCGCGCAAGCGGUCUGGUACCCGGGUCGGGGGAGUGUUGUUUGGGCUGGGUGUUUGCUGGGGCACAGGUUUCGGGCCCGGGUGGGUGCCGAGCUGGCGGUCGGCGGCGGUCGCGUGCGACACGUGCCAGCAGUCAGUUCGGUCCUGCUCGAGCUCUCUCGUGUCCGGCCUCGGUGUAAAAGCCGGUCAUCUGUCCGACCCGUCUUGAAACACGGACCAAGGAGUUUAGCGUGUGCGCGAGUCAUUGGGUGUUGAAAACCCAGAGGCGUAAUGAAAGUGAAGGUCUGCCUUGUGCAGCUGAUGUGUGAUCCUGGGCGCUGCGGUGCCCGGGCGCAACAUAGUCCCGUCCCGACUGCAUGCAGUGGGGCGGAGACAGAGCGUACGCGCUGAG
rnacentral:rRNA from 1 species